rnacentral:rRNA from 1 species
UGUUGUGGUUAAAAAGCUCGUAGUUGGAUCUCAACAGCCUUGAAGCGGUUAACUUUGUAGUUUUACUGCUUUAUAGGCUGUGCUUUUGCUGGAGGUUUAGGGGUGCUCUUGAUCGAGUGUCUCUGGAUGCCAGCAGGUUUACUUUGAAAAAAUUAGAGUGCUCAAAGCAGGCUAAAAUGCCUGAAUAUUCGUGCAUGGAAUAAUAGAAUAGGAUGUCGAUCCUAUUUUGUUGGUUUUCGGGACUCGACAUAAUGAUAAAUAGGGACAGUCGGGGGGCAUUUGUAUUCAAACGACAGAGGUGAAAUUCUUGGACCGUUUGAAGACAAACUACUGCGAAAGCAUUUGCCAAGAAUGUUUUCAUUAAUCAAGAACGAAAGUUAGAGGUUCGAAGGCGAUUAGAUACCGCCCUAGUUCUAACCAUAAACGAUGCCAGCUAGCGAUCUGCCUGCGUUUUACUGUAGACUGGGCAGGAAGCUUCCGGGAAACCAAAGCAUU